rnacentral:miRNA from 1 species
GUCGCCUGGCUGGCUACCUCCUCUUCCUCUUCCUCCUCCUCCUCCUCCUCCACAACCCUGCCCUCAUGGAAGCUGACACCGGGCAUGUCCUGGCUGGACUUGAUGACGAUGGG